rnacentral:rRNA from 1 species
GGACCCGCACAAGUAGUGGAGCAUGUGGUUUAAUUCGAAGAUACGCGCAGAACCUUACCAACACUUGACAUGUUCGUCGCGACUUUAAGAGAUUAAAGUUUUCGGUUCGGCCGGACGAAACACAGGUGCUGCAUGGCUGUCGUCAGCUCGUGUCGUGAGAUGUUGGGUUAAGUCCCGCAACGAGCGCAACCCUCACUUUUAGUUGCCAUCAUUUAGUUGGGCACUCUGAAAGAACUGCCAGUGAUAAGCUGGAGGAAGGUGGGGAUGACGUCAAGUCCUCAUGGCCCUUACGUGUUGGGCUACACACGUGCUACAAUGGUAUCUACAACAGGAAGCAAGACUGCGAGGUCAAGCAAAUCCUUAAAAGAUACCUCAGUUCGGAUUGCACUCUGCAACUCGAGUGCAUG